GGAAACGGGUGGUAAUGCUGGAUGCUCCAACUUGACGCAUGUCUUGUUGGGAAAGUGUUUAGUGGCAUGGGAUGGGGUCGCGUCCUAUCAGCUUGUAGGCGGGGUAAUGGCCCACCCAGGCUUCGACGGGUAGCCGGCCUGAGAGGGCGGACGGCCACAUUGGGACUGAGAUACGGCCCAGACUCCUACGGGAGGCAGCAGCG
rnacentral:rRNA from 1 species